rnacentral:lncRNA from 1 species
AGAAGAGGGAGGGAUGAGGGGAGAGGCAGAGGAGAAGAAGGGUGAUGUCACCUCACCUCUAGCAGGCAGCCAAUGAGAGCGAGGGAGGCAGAGAGAGCGGCUGAGAGAGAGGGAGAGAGGGUGUGUUUUUGAAUCACUGCAGCAUCAGAACAGCGAGAGGAGAGGACACAAUCAAUUUGAUAGAGAAGAAGAAAAGGAACAACUAAGGAAGAAAAAAGGGGAGGACAAGGAGUUGCCAGAGGAAAAGAAGGAUCAACACCCCCGAGGCCGUCCUUUAAACCUGUGGAGACGAAGACAGCAGGAGGGUGUGGACCUGAGCGAGAGUGAGAGAGAGAAAAGAGAGAGAGGCUGAAAGCAAAAGGAAACCAGGUAGAAGAAAAGGAAGAGUGGGCGUGACAACAGAGAGAGAGAUAGAGAGUCUGAUACACACGCUCGCUCGGCAGGAGUGUGUCCAGAUUGCCCUCUGUGUGCGUUUUGUGUGUGUUGAGCAGGUGGGACUUUGAUGGGACAGUGAGCAAUGCCUUGCACGCAGCGACAGCAGGUUGGCAGUAGGGGGCGACGCACCCCUCUCCCCCUCCUCCUUCUCCCUCUCUUCUCCCUCCUCCUAUCCCACACUCCUCAGCUCAGCCAAGCAGCUAUACACAUACCUCCCAACUACCAAAUAAAUGAAUGUAAGUGUUUCACUUCCUUCUGCUUUGAUG